GGGGAUGUCGCUCAGUGGUAGAGUGCUUGCCUAGCAGGCGUGAGGCCCUGGGUUUAAUCCUCAGCUCUGCCA
rnacentral:tRNA from 1 species